rnacentral:rRNA from 1 species
GCGAUCAUAGCAGUCGAGGGGCAUCGGGUGGGAAGCUUGCUUUCCUUGCCGGCGACCGGCGCACGGGUGAGUAACACGUAUGCAACCUGCCCUCUUCAGGGGGACAACCUUCCGAAAGGGAGGCUAAUCCCGCGUAUAUCGGUUUCGGGCAUCCGGGAUCGAGGAAAGAUUCAUCGGAAGAGGAUGGGCAUGCGGCGCAUUAGCUUGACGGCGGGGUAACGGCCCACCGUGGCGACGAUGCGUAGGGGUUCUGAGAGGAAGGUCCCCCACACUGGUACUGAGACACGGACCAGACUCCUACGGGAGGCAGCAGUGAGGAAUAUUGGUCAAUGGGAGAGAUCCUGAACCAGCCAAGCCGCGUGAGGGAAGACGGCCCUAUGGGUUGUAAACCUCUUUUGUCGGAGAACAAAACCCGGGACGUGUCCCGGACUGCGUGUAUCCGAAGAAAAAGCAUCGGCUAACUCCGUGCCAGCAGCCGCGGUAAUACGGAGGAUGCGAGCGUUAUCCGGAUUUAUUGGGUUUAAAGGGUGCGUAGGCGGUCCGUUAAGUCAGCGGUAAAAUUGCGGGGCUCAACCCCGUCGAGCCGUUGAAACUGGCAGACUUGAGUUGGCGAGAAGUACGCGGAAUGCGCGGUGUAGCGGUGAAAUGCAUAGAUAUCGCGCAGAACUCCGAUUGCGAAGGUAGCGUACCGGCGCCAGACUGACGCUGAGGCACGAAAGCGUGGGGAUCGAACAGGAUUAGAUACCCUGG